rnacentral:pre_miRNA from 1 species
AAAAAAACAUUUGGACCGUCAGUCUACCGAGCAAAUAUCACCCGCUCAGUGGAAGAUCUUCCCUUUGUCGUUUAAC